CCAGUGGUUAUCUAGACAGCUUGUUAUUCAGUGUUAAUGGGUACACUGUCUCUUUAAGAGUCACAACAGUAAGCUCUGCUUUACGGCUGUAGAGCAGUGAUCUCGGAGCGGGAACGUUCGCGGGUAGAACUUGAAUUAUGCUGAGAGGGGAGAAGACAUUGCUGAGCUGUAGCCAGUUUGUACUAGCCGUCCUGCAUAUCAAGUCACUGCUUAUAUGUUUUUCCUGCUAGUGGACCGUGAGGCUAGUUAGCGAUCUGCUAACAUUCGUGGAGUGCACGGUGUGGGAGGACUGGAGUCAGGCAGAGAUAACUGUGUUCCAGGACUUGUCGCCAGCCAUCACCCAGCUCUGCUCGUGGAUAACUUGAGUAUCAGAAACAAAACUUUCUUUUCUAUAGAGCUCUAUAGUAUUUUUUUGGGUACCCAAAUUUGGUUUCCUUUGUGGAGAGUUUUCUUUUGGAUUCAGAAAUACCAUAUGGUGGAUCACCACAAGAUUUGUGGAGGAGUGACUGUUCAUUAUUCUGGACUAAAAAGACUGAUUUAAUUUUUUUUUUUUUGAUGAACAUUGAGACUGAUUGAAAGAGAUAUUUUACAAAGUUUCAACUUGGAAUAUUUCAUUUAUAUUGUUGGCAACUGAUUGUGUUAAAGGACUAAGUUAGAUCAUUUAUAUUGGAGCUGAAGAGAAUUUAUUUCAUUUUUUUUUGUUUUGUUGUUGUUGUGCUUGUGUCAUUUAAGAAAAAAAAAAAACAUAAUUUGAGGUAAACAGACCUGAUUUAAAGGAAGGGUACGUUCCAGUCCAUGAAAUAUUUUAUUUUAUUUUAUUGGACUUAGGCAGCAUACUACUGCUAGACCCAGAAUAAAUUCCUGCCAAGUUCAUGAA